GAUGAACGCUGGCGGCGUGCCUAAUACAUGCAAGUCGAGCGAACGGACGAGAAGCUUGCUUCUCUGAUGUUAGCGGCGGACGGGUGAGUAACACGUGGAUAACCUACCUAUAAGACUGGGAUAACUUCGGGAAACCGGAGCUAAUACCGGAUAAUAUUUUGAACCGCAUGGUUCAAAAGUGAAAGACGGUCUUGCUGUCACUUAUAGAUGGAUCCGCGCUGCAUUAGCUAGUUGGUAAGGUAACGGCUUACCAAGGCAACGAUGCAUAGCCGACCUGAGAGGGUGAUCGGCCACACUGGAACUGAGACACGGUCCAGACUCCUACGGGAGGCAGCAGUAGGGAAUCUUCCGCAAUGGGCGAAAGCCUGACGGAGCAACGCCGCGUGAGUGAUGAAGGUCUUCGGAUCGUGAAACUCUGUUAUUAGGGAAGAACAUAUGUGUAAGUAACUGUGCACAUCUUGACGGUACCUAAUCAGAAAGCCACGGCUAACUACGUG
rnacentral:rRNA from 1 species